UACGUAGGGUGCGAGCGUUAAUCGGAAUUACUGGGCGUAAAGCGUGCGCAGGCGGCGCGUUAAGACAGGUGUGAAAGCCCCGAGCUUAACUUGGGAAUUGCGCUUGUGACUGGCGUGCUGGAGUGUGGCAGAGGGAGGUGGAAUUCCACGUGUAGCAGUGAAAUGCGUAGAGAUGUGGAGGAACACCGAUGGCGAAGGCAGCCUCCUGGGCCAGCACUGACGCUCAUGCACGAAGCCAGGGGAGCAAACGGGA
rnacentral:rRNA from 1 species